UACGUAGGCAGCGAGCGUUGUUCGGAGUUACUGGGCGUAAAGAGUGCGUAGGCGGUUUUCUAAGUUUGGGGUGAAAUCUCCCGGCUUAACUGGGAGGGUGCGCCGAAGACUGGAAGGCUAGAGUAUGGGAGAGGUAAGCGGAAUUCCUGGUGUAGCGGUGAAAUGCGCAGAUAUCAGGAGGAACACCGGUGGCGAAGGCGGAUCUCUGGGCCUGUUCUGACGCUGAGGCGCGAAAGCUAGGGGAGCGAACAGG
rnacentral:rRNA from 1 species